ACUAGACCAGAGCCCCUGGCUCACUGGGCCCAGUGCGGUCGCACUGUUUGCCCGGCCUAUGGGCCGGUCCUAUGGAUGGUCCCAUCCGAAGAUGUCCAGCGCCGGCCUCCACGUCGACUUGGCUACAGGCAAGGCCUUCGUGCACCACUACAAGCCGGCACCGUCCUGUAGAGGGAGGCAGCGGCGGGCGACCUAAGGAGAUCCGGCCUCAUCUUCUUUUUUCUAGAUGUCAUCUCCAUCGUCAGACCUCGCCGGUUCCCUCCGCAACACAGGCGACAAGCUCAUCGUCAUUGACUUCUUUUGUCCACUGUCGUGGUGCCAAUCGCACUCUCCACCCUAAGUUGAUUGUUCACUGUUGUAAUAUGACUUGAGGAUGGCCGUUGCCACGGAGCAGAGGGAGGUGAGUUUAGCGGGAGCAGUCCCUCCGCAGAAAACAAGAAAUCCUGAAACUUGCGAUAUUAAGAAGGUUAGCUGCGGUAAGGGUGGAGCCGCACUGGGUCUGCAUCUCGAAGAAUAAUUUCCACUCAGUUCAUUAUCGGCGAGGCCGCCAUUCUUCGCCUGGGGUGCCUGCGCAUGGCGGGCAGACUGGGUCCGCAUCUCGUGGUCAUGGGCGCGGCCAUUGCGGUUCUGUCUUUGGUUGCUGUCCCUUCUUUGCUCCUUGCUUGGUUGGAUCGGCCUGCUGUUGUGGCUUUGUCAUUGGAAACUGAUGCAUAAUUCAUUCUUCGAAGCUGAUGCAAGGGAGGCGGGAGAUUUGGUUGGGCAAGUGUCCAGUGGUUUCUGCACCGUCGUCGUUUACUUAUUCGAGUUAUUGUGCUCCUGGGCCUUAUGUGGAUUAUGAUGAUUAUUGGCCUGAUGAUUGGCCUCUUCCGAGUGGUGUUUUUAUUGAUGAUGACGGUUAUUUUGAUCCAUCUACUUCUGUCGGCGAUUUGUCUGAUUGUCUCGGCUCUCCGUGGUUGGCCAUGGUACUUCAGCGGAUGGCUUCCGUGCCUUUGCAUUUUCCUUAGCUAUUGCCCUUGUGGUAAUGUAGGAAAUUUAAAAAACAGGGUUUAGGUCUUAGUGACAAAAACAAGCGACUAAUGUUCAGCAUACAAUCUAGAUAGCCAUCCUUGGUCACGGUCAUACAUGUCUUGCAGUAUGGAUUCAACCCUUCAAAAUAAAUGUCAUUAGUUGGAUGCAGCUUUUUAGGGGCCAUUCUUGUGUUCUUGAAUCCAACUUUAAGUUUACAUCUGUACAUGCUCGUGAGGAACAUGAACCAACUCGAUUUGUUGUUUCUCUACCCAAUUAAGCUUUUAAUAUCCCCCCUCAUUUAUCUUACAUAAUAAUGAUGCUGUUGAAUUCGUUGUUUACAAUAGUAUAUGGUUGCUCAACAUGUUAAAUAAGGCCCACAGUGGCAUGAUAUUCAUUUUGGUUACUAAGCUUUGCAUUCUUUAUUAAUAGAAUUAUGGUAAAAGUCGUUGCUCGCUGUCCAUUCACUUUCUAUAGUGGAACAUUCCUGUGAAUAUGCACACAUUUUUUGUAGAUUAUUUCUUUCGUUCUAUUGAAUUGUUAUAAGAUGCAUUUAGGGUACAAGAAUAGUUUGCUUCCUUGGUUAUUGGGACCAGCUGACACUUUAGUGUUCUUUUGGUUCUGAAAUUAGCAGGAACAGACAUGUUUGUUGCAUUAUCUCAGCCUAAUGCUAUGCUUAAUAAGAUUGAUCCUCUUUGCAAGGUGAACUAUUAUACCUUAUGUGAGAAGAUAUUCAUGUAUUGUUCCAUAGAUAAUGCAAUUUAUAUUUAUCUCUUUCACUAUUCAUGCAGACCUCCGGUAACAAAAAAAAGAUUCACUUUUUAUGGAAUGAUGGUUAUUAAAUUUUCUUGGUAACUCAUGCAACAUUUUCAGCAUGCCUCGAUGCAAUAUAUAGUCAGGUGCAGUGUGAUUGAUUUUAUUUAUGGCUUAGUGAUCUUUCCCUGGUCUGGGUUUGUGGAUUUUCGUUGCUGCAGAAAAAAAUUAAGAUGGUUAUUAAUAUCAAGGUGUUUAUUUCUGUAUUCACACUGUAACUGGUUGGAGAAGAAAAUAUUUAUUGAAGCUGGCCAAUGCAAUGCUAUAUUUUCACUACUACAAAUGUCAAAAUGUAUAAGAUCCAUAAUAAUGCCAAUUUUACUAAUGCAUUUCUUUUGUGGGAUGUUGCUUCUUCACCAUCUUGACAACAAUUGUUUUCCAUUUUACAUGCAGGUAUGCAUAAUUCUUCUAGAUAGCAAUCAGAUCUUGCUUAGGUUUAGUGUUCACGUAUGGGUUCUGUUUAUUGUAAUGUGAAAUAACUUAUGUAUGCAUAUUAAAAAAAAUCAGUUUGCUCUUAAAUGACAGGGGGGCACAUUCUGUACCUAGCAAAAUACCUUUUUGACAUAGAUCUGCAAAGUUUGAAAAUGUCCGAUAGCAAUCGGAUUUGGCUAAGCUUUAGUGCUCUCACAUGGGUUCCAGUUUUUAUAAUAUGAAAUAACUUCUUUGCAUGCUGAAACUUUGUUGACUUCCUUUCCAGUAUAUUGAUUAAUUUGGUUGCUCUAAAAAUCAGCUCAUAGGAUAGUGCAAGA